GAUUGAACGCUGGCGGCAGGCCUAACACAUGCAAGUCGAGCGGUAGCACAGAGAGCUUGCUCUCGGGUGACGAGCGGCGGACGGGUGAGUAAUGUCUGGGAAACUGCCUGAUGGAGGGGGAUAACUACUGGAAACGGUAGCUAAUACCGCAUAAUGUCGCAAGACCAAAGUGGGGGACCUUCGGGCCUCAUGCCAUCAGAUGUGCCCAGAUGGGAUUAGCUAGUAGGUGGGGUAACGGCUCACCUAGGCGACGAUCCCUAGCUGGUCUGAGAGGAUGACCAGCCACACUGGAACUGAGACACGGUCCAGACUCCUACGGGAGGCAGCAGUGGGGAAUAUUGCACAAUGGGCGCAAGCCUGAUGCAGCCAUGCCGCGUGUGUGAAGAAGGCCUUCGGGUUGUAAAGCACUUUCAGCGGGGAGGAAGGCGGUGAGGUUAAUAACCUCGUCGAUUGACGUUACCCGCAGAAGAAGCACCGGCUAACUCCGUGCCAGCAGCCGCGGUAAUACGGAGGGUGCAAGCGUUAAUCGGAAUUACUGGGCGUAAAGCGCACGCAGGCGGUCUGUCAAGUCGGAUGUGAAAUCCCCGGGCUCAACCUGGGAACUGCAUUCGAAACUGGCAGGCUAGAGUCUUGUAGAGGGGGGUAGAAUUCCAGGUGUAGCGGUGAAAUGCGUAGAGAUCUGGAGGAAUACCGGUGGCGAAGGCGGCCCCCUGGACAAAGACUGACGCUCAGGUGCGAAAGCGUGGGGAGCAAACAGGAUUAGA
rnacentral:rRNA from 1 species